UCCGACUUAACGUCGGCAGUCCCUUUAGAGUGCCCAACUUAAUGCUGGCAACUAAAGGUAAGGGUUGCGCUCGUUGCGGGACUUAACCCAACAUCUCACGACACGAGCUGACGACAGCCAUGCAGCACCUAUCACCAGUGUCCCGAAGGAAAACCCUAUCUCUAGGGCUGUCACUGGGAUGUUAAGUCCAGGUAAGGUUCUUCGCGUUGCAUCGAAUUAAACCACAUGCUCCACCGCUUGUGCGGGCCCCCGUCAAUUUCUUUGAGUUUUAACCUUGCGGCCGUACUCCCCAGGCGGAACACUUAACGCGUUAGCUCCGGCACUGAUGGGGUCAAUACCACCAACACCAAGUGUUCAUCGUUUACGGCGUGGACUAC
rnacentral:misc_RNA from 1 species